AUGCCUCGGGAGGCAGCAGUGAGGAAUAUUGGUCAAUGGGCGGGAGCCUGAACCAGCCAAGUCGCGUGAGGGACGACGGUCCUAUGGAUUGUAAACCUCUUUUGUCAGGGAGCAAAGGGCGCCACGUGUGGCGUUUUGCGAGUACCUGAAGAAAAAGCAUCGGCUAACUCCGUGCCAGCAGCCGCGGUAAUACGGAGGAUGCGGGCGUUAUCCGGAUUUAUUGGGUUUAAAGGGUGCGCAGGCGGAAUGUCAAGUCAGCGGUAAACUUUCGGGGCUCAACCCCGUC
rnacentral:rRNA from 1 species